rnacentral:rRNA from 1 species
UUGAACUUAUUCCAAAGUCAAAGACACCUCUUUUUGGGGAUCAAAACUUAAAAUUCAAUUUUCAACUCUUUGAUUUGGUUGUGAAAAUUUUCUCUUGAAUUUAGAAGAGAAUCUACUUUAGACUUUAUCAUUUGUAAGUUUAAUUACUUUGAAUGAUGUUUACAAUUGCUCCUCUCUCUUCCUUUCUCUUGUGGAACUAAAACAACAACUAGGGUUGUGGGAUGUAAGAUUAUUCCCCCAAGGAUUUUAUAGUGGGUUAGGAUUUGUGUGAUUGUGGGUACACCUUGAUAAUUACUUUGUUAUGCUUUUUAUUUAUUGGUUGCAAACAAUAAAUCCCACCUUAUGUUGAUUUGAUCGAACUGAGAAAUAAACUAAAGGUAGUGAAUUAUCAACAGGAUUUGGAAAGGUUAAGCUCCCGUCUAAUGAUUAAUUCUAUAACAACAUUCAUCAAUUUGAGAUAAAACUGGUAUGAAUAGAAUGAUUUCCUAUGUUCGAGAGAAUUAGGGAGUUCAACAUCUAGGAUGGUUGAGAAACACUUAGAUGGACUUUUGAAACUAAUAAUAUGGUGCUUCUCAUAAAUCAUGAGAACCCAAUACUAUAGUUAUUAUUUAAUGGGGAUUAAGAAUCAUAGAGAUCACAAUCCUCGUUCCUCUCAAUCACUGAUUUGAACUAUUGAAAUUUUAGUUUGGAGCUAUGAAACAAGUUAAAACUUUUACAUUUGUUUGAUCAUCAAAAACCCCCAUUUUAUCUUUUCAUAUCAUUUGUUUGAAUUCAACUUAUAUCUAUAGUUUCCAAUUAUUUUAAUCUCCACUCACAUUGUUCCUCGUGGAUUCUACCCCAAUUCCAAAGUUGGGUAAAUAUAUUGACGAUGACUGCCUUGCACUAAAUUAAGCAUUAUCAGCCAAUUAAGAUAGGGGGAAGAUGGUCAUGGAAUUUGAAAUCCGCUAAGUAGUGUGUAACGACUCACCUGCUAAAUCAAAUAGCCUCAAAAAUGGAUUGUGAUUAAGAGCACGACCUACAUACGGCCGUCAGGAAUGUGUCAGUCCCUAAUUAUUAGAACGGCAUGACGGUCGCUGCAAAACCUUGUGCGUGAGCCCAGGAGGAUAGGUCGAUGGUGCAGAUUUGGUAGUAGUAGCAAAUAUUCAAGUGAGAAAAUUGAAUGCCAUAGAGUGAAAAGGUUCCAUGUUAACGGAACUUGCACAUGGGCUACUAGAUCCAAAGGGUCGGGGCAACCCCGAUAAACAGUGUAUUUCAAGCAUUCACAAAAAGGGAAUCUGGUUAAAAUUCCUGAAUCGGUAUAUGGUGGUCAAUGGUAAUGUUAGAAAGUUUAGAGAUGUCGGUGGGAGCCUCAGGAAAAGUUAUUUUUUUUUAUUUAACAGACUGCCCACCCUUGAAAUAGCUCAAACGGAGGUAGGUUCUAGUGGAUGGAAGAGCACCGCACAUCGCAUGGUGUUCGGUGCACUCCUGGAGGCCAUUGAAAAUCUACAGGACAUAAUUGCGUCCAUGCCUGAUCGUACUUAUACCCACAUCAGGUAUCAAAGGUGAACAUCCUCUGGUCGAUAAAAUAAUAUAGGCUAGGUAAGUUGGCAAAAUAGAUCUAUAACUUUGGGAAAAUGAUUGGUUUGAAGGGAUGGACAAGGGGUUCUAGUCCCAAACCUGUCGGCUAUCGAUGGAUAUCUUGAGCUACUCCUGCAAUAAUAGUGGGUCACCACAUGUAGGCUGGGGGACGGACUGGAAACGGUUCCUUUAGAUUCCUUUCCCGCGCGUCGAAUAACUAACUCAGAACUAUACGGACAAGGGGAAUCCGUCUGUUGGAUUAAAAAAAAGCAUUGCGAUUGUCCUGACGAAUGUUCAUGCAAUGUGAUUUCCACCUAUUGCUCUAAAUGUCAAAGUAAAUAAAUUCAACCAGGCGCAGGUAAACAAUUGGAGUAACUAUGACUCUCUUAAGGUAGCCAAAUGCCUCGUCAUCUAAUUAGUGACGUGCAUGAAUGGAUUAAUAAGAUUUCCACUAUCCCUCUCUACUAUCUAGCAAACUCCCAACCAAGACAAUAGACUUAGAUUAAUUAGUGGUAAAAAAAACCCUGUUGAUGUUGACUCUAGCCUAACUUUGUGAAAUAACUUGAGAUAUAAGUACAACUGGGAUCCGAAAGGAGAAUGUGACAUACCAUAAAUUUUAAUGUUAUUUCACUUACUUCGUGAAAUGAAAGUGGGGCACUGACCCUAUUUUUGGACCUACGGCUCCCUCUGUGGGCUGAUCUAGGUGGAAGACAUUGUUUGGUUAGAUGUUUGACCGGGGCAGCAUAUUUGUUGAAUGAUAAUGCAGGUGUCCUAAUCUGAGGUCAGCGAGAACUAAAAUCUCGUAUGGAACAAUAGGUAAAAGCUCAUUUCAUUCUGAUUUCUAGAACAAAUAUGAACCGUGAAAGCAUGGCCUAAUGAUCCUUUAGACCUUCUAAAUUUGAAGAUAGAGGUGUCAGAAAAGUUACCAUGGGGAUAAAUAGUUUGUGGCAGAAAAGAGUUCAUAGCGACAUUGCUAUUUGAUACUUCGAUAUCGGCUCUUCAUAUCAUUUUGAAGCAAAAUUCACCAAGUGAUGUAUUGUUCACCCACUAAUAGGGAACAUGAGCUGGGUUUAGACCAUCAUGAGACAAGUUAUUUUUACCCUAAUAAUGACAGUGCCAAAACAAUAAUUCAACGUAGUACGAGAGGAACCAUUGAUUCACACAAUUGGUCGUUGCGCUUGGUUGAAUAGCUAGUUACAUGAAGCUAUAGUUUGCUAGUUUAUGACUGAAUGCCUCUAAGUCAGAAUCCAGGAUAAAAGUGAUACAUGAGACCUCCGUCCAUUUGCUGAACCAUAGUAGAGGCCUUGGACUCUAAGGGUACGUGUUGUUGGCUAAGCCAUCAUGGCAAAAGGGUCGCGGUGUCCGCCUU